rnacentral:rRNA from 1 species
GACGAACGCUGGCGGCGUGCUUAACACAUGCAAGUCGAACGGAAAGGCCCCUUUGGGGGUACUCGAGUGGCGAACGGGUGAGUAACACGUGAGUAACCUUCCCUUGACUUCGGGAUAACUUCAGGAAACUGGGGCUAAUACCGGAUAGGAAUCCUUGCUGCAUGGUGGGGGUUGGAAAGCUUCGGCGGUUUUGGAUGGACUCGCGGCUUAUCAGCUUGUUGGUGGGGUAGUGGCUUACCAAGGCGUUGACGGGUAGCCGGCCUGAGAGGGCGACCGGCCACAUUGGGACUGAGAGACGGCCCAGACUCCUACGGGAGGAAGCAGUGGGGAAGAUUGAACAAUGGGCGGAAGCCUGAUGCAGCAACGCCGCGUGCGGGAUGACGGCCUUCGGGUUGUAAACCGCUUUCAGCGGGGGCGAAGCUUGUGGUGACGGUACCUGCAGAAGAAGCACCGGCUAACUACGUG